rnacentral:rRNA from 1 species
AGCUGUGGCGGGGUGCUUACAAUGCAAGUCGAGCGCUGAAGCCUUCGGGUGGAUGAGCGGCGAACGGGUGAGUAACACGUGGGUGACCUGCCCUCAGCUCUGGGAUAAGCCUGGGAAACUGGGUCUAAUACCGGAUAUGACUUCCUGCCGCAUGGUGGGUUGUGGAAAGUUUUUCGGCUGAGGAUGGGCCCGCGGCCUAUCAGCUUGUUGGUGGGGUGAUGGCCUACCAAGGCGACGACGGGUAGCCGGCCUGAGAGGGCGACCGGCCACACUGGGACUGAGACACGGCCCAGACUCCUACGGGAGGCAGCAGUGGGGAAUAUUGCGCAAUGGGCGAAAGCCUGACGCAGCGACGCCGCGUGGGGGAUGACGGCCUUCGGGUUGUAAACCUCUUUCGCCAGGGACGAAGCUAACGUGACGGUACCUGGAUAAGAAGCACCGGCCAACUACGUGCCAGCAGCCGCGGUAAUACGUAGGGUGCGAGCGUUGUCCGGAAUUAUUGGGCGUAAAGAGCUCGUAGGCGGUGUGUCACGUCGGUCGUGAAAACCUGGGGCUUAACUCUGGGCUUGCGGUCGAUACGGGCAUCACUUGAGUUCGGCAGGGGAGACUGGAAUUCCUGGUGUAGCGGUGAAAUGCGUAAAAUUUU